rnacentral:rRNA from 1 species
UACGUAGGGUGCAAGCGUUGUCCGGAAUUAUUGGGCGUAAAGAGCUCGUAGGCGGCUUGUCGCGUCGGCUGUGAAAACCUGAGGCUCAACCUCGGGCUUGCAGCCGAUACGGGCAAGCUAGAAUUCGGUAGGGGAGACUGGAAUUCCUGGUGUAGCGGUGAAAUGCGCAGAGUAUCAGGAGGAACACCGGUGGCGAAAGCGGCUCACUGGACCAUUACUGACGCUGAUGCUCGAAAGCUAGGGGAGCAAACAGG